rnacentral:rRNA from 1 species
UGGUGGCGACCGGCGCACGGGUGAGUAACGCGUAUGCAACCCAUCUAUCAGAGGGGAAUAACCCGGCGAAAGUCGGACUAAUACCGCAUAAAACAGGGACACCGCAUGGUGAUAUUUGUUAAAGAAAUUCGCUGAUAGAUGGGCAUGCGUUCCAUUAGGUAGUUGGUGAGGUAACGGCUCACCAAGCCGACGAUGGAUAGGGGAACUGAGAGGUUGGUCCCCCACACUGGUACUGAGACACGGACCAGACUCCUACGGGAGGCAGCAGUGAGGAAUAUUGGUCAAUGGGCGAGAGCCUGAACCAGCCAAGUCGCGUGAAGGAAGAAGGAUCUAUGGUUCGUAAACUUCUUUUGCAGGGGAAUAAAGUGCAGGACGUGUCCUGUUUUGUAUGUACCCUGAGAAUAAGGAUCGGCUAACUCCGUGCCGGCAGCCGCGGUAAUACGGAGGAUCCGAGCGUUAUCCGGAUUUAUUGGGUUUAAAGGGUGCGUAGGUGGUUUGAUAAGUCAGCGGUGAAAGUUUGCAGCUUAACUGUAAAAAUGCCGUUGAAACUGUCGGACUUGAGUGUAAAUGAGGUAGGCGGAAUGCGUGGUGUAGCGGUGAAAUGCUUAGAUAUCACGAAGAACUCCGAU